AGCAGAUAUCACGGUGCUAUCGGCCGAGUACGGCCGACGGCCUCCAGCGAUAUUAGCGCGACUAAUGUUCCCUUCCGUAGCCUUCGUUGAGUCGGCCGGACUCGCUCGUGUUCGAGAUAUUAUGCAGUAGAUGCGUAAUUGCGCGACGUAGCGGCGAGUGUUGCGUUGGGCCGGCCUCUCGGUGUCGACCGCGACAAUAAAAUUCCGAGCAUAUUCGCGACAAAAUAGACACCCGUCGACGCAAGGUUAGGCACAAGGUGCGCCGCGAAGGAGAAGGAGCGAGUGUGCGGGAUCAACCUCGGGUGGAGGAGAGCUGAUUAGACGGCCACCACCACCGCGGACAACGACGACAGUCGAUAUGGACGGCGGCAAGGUGGACGACGAGAAUCAGCGUAGCGUCAAUGACGGCGACUGGGUCUGCCCGGACUCACAAUGUGCCAAUAUUAACUUCGCCAGACGAAACUCCUGCAAUCGCUGUGGUAAAGACAGAGGUGAGUGUCCAAAGAAGAAAAAGUUGGGUCAAGAAAUUGGGAAAGCAGCCGCUGAAAAAAGCAGGGGUCUCUUUAGUGCGGAUGACUGGCAGUGCAGUAAAUGCGGUAAUGUGAACUGGGCUCGCCGUCAACAGUGUAAUAUGUGCAACGCCCCGAAAUUUGGCGAGAUAGAAGAGCGCACAGGAUACGGAGGCGGUUAUAAUGAUCGAGGAGUCGUCGAGUAUAAGGAGAGACGGGAUGAGGACGACGAAUAUGACGAAUUCGGACGACGUAAGAAAAAGCGGAAACUUGAAAGCCGUUCCGACGAUGACUCCAAAGAUUCCAAAUAUAGUAGUCCUUCGCGCAGUAAAUCCAGAGACAAGGACGAUAGGGAUGAGAGGGACGAGGACGAGCAGGCUGAAGAAAAUGAGGAUGAAGAAGAGGAUGACGAGGAAGACGGCGACUUGUCGAAAUAUGAUCUUAGCGAAUGGGACGAUUUCGCGCCGGCAAAGAAAAGUACGAACGGAAGUGCUAUAUCGUCAGAAGCACAACGGUCAAGAAACGGAGAUGAUUGGAGAGAUUCGGGCACAUCCAACCAAUGAAAUGCUGUACAAAAGGACAGGUUUGACUUGGGUUUCGGGUAUAAAAUUGAUUAUGAUGAUCAAUCGCAGAACAACAAUACAGUGAUGAGUCUUGCUAAAAUAAUAUGAAAAAGCGCCAAGACUCGAGGGAAGGAUGCGUGCAGUCGGCUCGGCAACUAAGAGAAAACUAUACACAACGCAAGUCUAGCAAUUUAGUGAUGCACCUUUGAAGAUAAAGUGGCCGAUAUAACACGUGACUUACUACAAAGGGAGUCGACUAACAAUAAGCUUUACAUUUAUAAUUCUGCUCAUAGCUUCGCGUUCAUCCUAAGGAAGCAAAUGUAGGAUCUCCUAUUUGCGCACGCGGUGUCGUUGCUCUCGAAAGAUGAAACGUGAAACACUUUACAGCGCGAAUAGCUCCGCUAGCGAGAUACAAGACAAGGAUAAUCUUCAAAACAAAGUGAAUCUAUAGAGAAAAUUAUACACACAGCUCAUUUUACAAGCUCUGAAUAUGACGUAGAAAAAGAACUUCUAAUGUAGUAAUCUCUUAUUCCUACGUAGGUGAAGAGCUCUGCGUAAGCUUCAUCGCGUCGCAGUGUUCUAAAUUCCUAUCACUUUAUCACAAACGUACUAUGUCGAUGUAGUCGUGUCACUGCUUAUAUUGCUCAAACUGCUUGGAGGAAUCUGCUUUUUUCCCUUGUCCUCUUGUCUCUCUUUUUACCGCCCUUCGUCUGACGAGUGGCAUUCGAUUUAAAUGAGCAAUCGUAAAAGUGAAGUAUUAAGUAAUCAUUCCCGAAACGAAAUGGAGAUGUGCUGCUAACUUUCGAAAAGGAGGAAGUAAAGGUGGCAGAGUCAAAAUCAUCUUUAUCUCGCUUCGACUACGGGUCCGUUCCUCUUGGCUGCGCUCUGAGCAUUUCGCUACUCUUCAACUUCUUCUCUUCUUUACCCCUUCUCUUCUACAAAGUCUGGGAUAUGUAGUUUCGUUUCGAGCGCAGAAGUAGCACGAUGCAGCGCGGCGAAAGGAACGGACCUGCCCGUGGAAUCCGAGCGAUUUUCGAAGGCUGCUUACUUCGGAAGAAGAAAAAAAAUAAACGUGGUGCAAGAUGGUCGUGUCUCGCUUACGCACAUCCUGCGGGCGCGAAUAAAAGGCCAACUCUCUCUCUCUCUUCGAUAGACGCUCUCGAAUCGCGCGAACGUGUUGCGAUCACCGAUCGUCGAUCAAAUCUUGUGCUGACACACUUCUUGUAAAUAUCUUUAUUUUUCAUUUAUAAUAAAAAUCAUUCAUCAACAACAUAA
rnacentral:misc_RNA from 1 species